rnacentral:lncRNA from 1 species
UUUUGGAUAGGUAAAUGUUAUUUCUUAGCUAAUUAUAUUGUCAGAGUUUGCUGCAAAAUAAUUUUAAAUUGGGUGAAACUGAACAGAAAGUGAAAAAUUAUUGUAAAAGUAGAGAUAUACACUGGCAAAAAGUUAAGAAGAAAAACUGUAAAACUAUGCACUCCCCACCAAUCAUCGGUUCUAUUUCCUUUUUUUUUUUUUUUAAGUUAUAGCGACGAAAAAUAUGCUAUUAGGCAUGGUUUUGUAGUGAAUUACGAAGAUUGUAAGGAUUUGGUAAGGCAAGUUAUAUUACAUUUGGUAUGACUCCUUAAGUACUUAACCGUAUAUAAGUAAGAGAAAGAAAACAAAAGAGUUCGGUAGACAAUAAGGGUGAAAUGCUCACUUAGGCAAAAC